GUCCACGUAGUUCAGCAGGAUAGAACACAGGCCUUCUAAGCCUGGUGUCGGGGGUUCGAGUCCUCCCGUGGGCG
rnacentral:tRNA from 1 species